UAACUUUUCCACACAAUAACAGAUCUUUUUUUUUUUUUUUUUUUUUUGCUUAUUAAUUUUAAGACCUUGAGAUAUUUUCAUCCUGUUCUACUGCAGUCCUUCCUGAAGCCCGCUAACAGCUGAAAAGACAACCCUGGUGUGCAGGAUGAUUUUAUCCAGCACUCAGAUUGUUUCCUGCUGUCAGAUAUCAUUAGAAAGUUUAAGUGCAGUCUAGAUGUUGGAUAAUUGCUAUGAUGAAGUUUGGCCAUCAGUGUAAAAAGCAGGUUGUUAUAGUGAAUGGAAAAUGUCCAUUCUCCGCCUGUUUUAACAAGGCCUGGUCCUUAGCAAAAGAAACAUCAUCACACAACAAGGGGUUCAUUAAUGCAUGUCUUCCUGUUUACUCUUUCUUCUCUGAUGCAGUAGUGCACACUGUUGUAAAACACAGCUUUUCUGUGAAAGAGGGUGAUAGGGACUGAGGCAGCCCAACAAUUUCCCUGCCAACCCAAAGGGACAGGUUUCAUAAUUUUUCUCCUGCUCCAUUUACCUCCCUACACUGCUCUCAACUGGAUGAUCCCUGGCUUCGUUCUGGCCCUGGCAGUCAUUGAGCCCUUUGCCAAGCCAGUUCACCUCCCUUAUGGGACAGGCAACUGUUUGCUUUCCCUGCUGUCCUACUCUGUGACCGGACUCCAAAAAUUAUGCUCCUACAUGUAAAAAAGAGAGGCUAUCAGUCCCAGAUGCAUCUGGGUCACGGACAACUUACUGACAGUAUAUCACCACUAGCAGUCCACUGGUUCACCAGGACAGUUUAGAACUUUAACAAUCUUUAAAACAUCCUGUUUUUUUUUUUUCAGAUUAAAGGUAAGAAACAUCAAGCUCUGAAUGCUGCAUAAGUGUAGUUUUGCUCUUCACUAUAUCUAACUAGCUUUGAACAACAACAAAAUUGUGCCAGUGAAUUAGAAGGUGGCCAAGGUGGAUAAACAGCAUGGAUUACUUUGCUUGAAAAUUGGAUUGUUGAUGAAGGAAAGAAAACAACAACCAAAAGUGUAUUGAUUUUGCAAACAUCACUUACAGGUACACAUUUAACUUGUGAACUUUGGUCUGAAUAGGUAAGAAGCUCUUGACUAUCAGAGAUACUGAUCUGAAUAAGCAGGAUGUACAUUUUGGGUUCAACACAUCCCCUUGCAGACACCCACCUCAACACAAUCAUGCAUCUUGUUUAGUUUCAUCUGAUACUGUCUACCUUCCUCUCUAUCAGAAUCCACAUGCAGCAGAAUGAGCUUCAGUAAAAUCAAUGGGAAAGUGACACAAAUGAAAAGGCCAGUGUAUUCUUUGAAAUCAUAGAAUGGCUUGGGUUGGAAAGGAUUGUAAAGAUCCUCUACUAACAUCCAACCCCUAGCUAAUCAGAAUUGUAUGGGAAGUGCUGAGUCGCAGCCUGAAGCACUGAUUGAUCACCUGAGGCAAGCACCGAGUCAGCCAUGGAGCACAGGUGAAGGCCAUUCGGCUGUGUGAUGGAAGGGGUGGAGCCUGGCUGCACCUCUCCUAGACCCCAUUUAAGGGGAAGGGUCUCUUUCUGGAGUGUUCUCUUGGUGAAGCUUUCCUUUGCAAACCCUUCUGGUGCAGGUUGAGGUGAGAGGUGCUUCAUGCGCAAAGUAAAGAGGCUUCUGCCUGCAAGGACUGCCAGCUCUUUUGUGGCAGCUCUUUUCAUUUUAGAAGUGGGAACCAGCUGAAUCCAGCAGAGAUCACAAAGCAGGCCUUAACCCUGGGCAGAGAACUUGGGGAUGUGAGCUCUUGAAUUAACCCAGGUGAAUCAGGAGAUCAGGGACAGACUUCAAGUCUCACACACUGCACAG